rnacentral:rRNA from 1 species
UACGGAGGGUGCAAGCGUUAUCCGGAUUCACUGGGUUUAAAGGGUGCGUAGGUGGGCAGGUAAGUCAGUGGUGAAAUCUCCGGACUUAACCCGGAAACUGCCGUUGAUACUAUUUGUCUUGAAUAUUGUGGAGGUAAGCGGAAUAUGUCAUGUAGCGGUGAAAUGCUUAGAUAUGACAUAGAACACCAAUUGCGAAGGCAGCUUACUACACAAUGAUUGACACUGAGGCACGAAAGCGUGGGGAUCAAACAGG